GGGUUCACUUCAGCAGCACAUGUACUAAGGUUGGAAGGACACAGAGAAGAUUAGCAUGGCCCCUGCAGAAGGACAACACGUUCGCAAUGAGCCUGCAUCCCUGCCUCA
rnacentral:snRNA from 1 species